CUUGGUGAGGAUGGCGGCGGCUACCACUCGGUGUUCGCGUGUCCCAUCCUGCGGCAGCAGGCGUCGGAACAGAACCCGCCGAUGCGGCUGCUGUGCGGACACGUCAUAUCUAGGGACGCGCUCAACAAACUCGCCAUGGAGCCAAAUUGAAAUGCCCAUACUGCCCGAUGGAACAGUCUCCCGCCGAGGCCCGACAGAUAUAUUUCUCAUGAGCAGUUGUAGCAAACAUAAUACGAUUCGAUUCUGUUGUUAUUACAUGGAAUAAUUUCACUCGUAGCACAAGGGAAUGAACUUGCCACGAUAGAUCAUAGAUGUAGCAUACAGUGCGUUUACUAGAGCUCUUAAAGCAAGGUUGCCAUUGUAUAAAUAAAAUGGCGCCCUACAAUUCCUCUCUCCCAUGUCUGUCUUUUUUACACUGGCAACUAUCAUACUUUAAAAACUUAUAGUAAAUGCACUGAACAGGAGAAUAUGUUUAAAUAGAUACUCUUUAAACUGUUAUAUAUAUUUUCAUACAAAUAAAUGACGAGUUGUUAUAUAAUUAUUUCGUUGGUAAAAUGUAUGUGGUAAAAUCGAUGUUACUAGCUGAGAUUAGUCACAACGUAGAAUAAAAAAAUUGACAAGGCGUGAAUUCGACCCAAAUAUUGUUUCCUAAGAAGAUUUAAUGGUUAGAUUUAUUGAACGCGUGUGCAAUAAAUACGACAACCGAAUUAGGUUAUAUUGACAAAUCACUUAGAUACAUAUUAUACAUACACUUUCAUGGACUAAGUUUGUUUAUAAACGAAAUAAAAAAUUCUGAGUAAGCUUGUUCUUCAAUAAAGUAUCUGAAUUGAAAUUGAAAUAGAUAUACAUCUUAUUGCGGUAUGCGAUGAGGCGAACUUUGGUUAUUCUAAUAGAGGUUAAAUAAGGUAGACAUCAUAUUGUAAUUUUAAGACAAAUAUUAUUAUUAUUGUAUGUUUACGUACUGACUGGUUGUAGUCAUGCUUUUGUUCUUUUUUUGUAAUAAAACGGAUUCAGUAUUUAA